UAGGGAAUCUUCCGCAAUUGGCGAAAGCUUGACGGAGCAACGCCGCGUUAGUGAUGAAGGUCUUCGGAUCGUAAAACUCUGUUAUUAGGGAAGAACAAAUGUGUAAGUAACUAUGCACGUCUUGACGGUACCUAAUCAGAAAGCCACGGCUAACUACGUGCCAGCAGCCGCGGUAAUACGUAGGUGGCAAGCGUUAUCCGGAAUUAUUGGGCGUAAAGCGCGCGUAGGCGGUUUUUUAAGUCUGAUGUGAAAGCCCACGGCUAAACCGUGGAGGGUCAUUGGAAACUGGAAAACUUGAGUGCAGAAGAGGAAAGUGGAAUUCCAUGUGUAGCGGUGAAAUGCGCAGAGAUAUGGAGGAACACCAGUGGCGAAGGCGACUUUCUGGUCUGUAACUGACGCUGAUGUGCGAAAGCGUGGGGAUCAAAAAGG
rnacentral:rRNA from 1 species